rnacentral:misc_RNA from 1 species
GAUGAAGAACGCAGCGAAAUGCGAUAAGUAAUGCGAAUUGCAGAAUUCCAGUGAGUCAUCGAAUCUUUGAACGCACAUUGCGCCCCCUGGUAUUCCGGGGGGCAUGCCUGUUCGAGCGUCAUUUCACCACUCAAGCCUCGCUUGGUAUUGGGCAACGCGGUCCGCCGCGUGCCUCAAAUCGUCCGGCUGGGUCUUCUGUCCCCUAAGCGUUGUGGAAACUAUUCGCUAAAGGGUGUUCGGGAGGCUACGCCGUAAAACAACCCCAUUUCUAAGGUUGACCUCGGAUCAGGUAGGGAUACCCGCUGAACUUAAGCAUAUCAAUAAGCGGAGGA